rnacentral:RNase_P_RNA from 1 species
UCGGCGCAGCGGAUAGCUACUUGGUGAUUCCAAGAGGAAAGUCCGAGCUGCAGUGAGGCGGGGUUCCACCUAACAGGUGGCCGACGAAGCCCGCAAGGGAUAAGUCGAGGGAAAGUGCAACAGAAAAGAGACCGCCGAUGGCCGUAACGGCACAGGCAAGGGUGAAAAGGUGAGGUAAGAGCUCACCGCUCGCUUGGCAACAAGCGAGGCAGUGUAAACCCAACCCGCAGCAAGUCACGCCCGGUUAGUGCCUCACACUUUGAGCGUGACGCUAGAGCCCUAUGGCGACAUAGGGAGUAGAUAAAUGGCUAUCCAAGACAGAACUCGGCUUACAGCUGCGCCUCUUCA